rnacentral:Y_RNA from 1 species
GGCUGGUCCAAAUGCAGUACUGUUUACAACUAAUUAAUCACAACCAGUUACAGAUUUCUUUGUUCCUUCUCUACUCUCAUUUCUUUACUUGAGUAGCCUAAA